AAGGUUGCUAAUGCCUGUGGGGUUACCCUCCCUAGCUGUUAGGAAACUAAUUAAAAUGAAGCUCCCCUUCCAAAAAUUAGCUACAGUUCUGUAUCAGUAGCUGUAGCAGAGUGAUAUAUUAUGUAUUUGUAUGAAAAUGAAGAGUAGGAGUUUGAUAAUGUUGCACGGAAUAAGAUGUGGAAGGGAAGUUACAUAAUAGGUGUGUAAUCGGCUGGCUAAUAUGAAUUAGUUUCAGUAAUAUUG
rnacentral:misc_RNA from 1 species